rnacentral:tRNA from 1 species
CUUGGGGUAGCUUAGUGGUAGAGUACUUGUUUAGCAUGCAUGAAGACCUGGAUUCCAGCCCCAGCA